GAUGAACGCUGGCGGCGUGCUUAGCACAUGCAAGUCGAACGGUGAAGCAGAGCUUGCUCUGUGGAUCAGUGGCGAACGGGUGAGUAACACGUGAGCAAUCUGCCCCUGACUCUGGGAUAGGCGCUGGAAACGGCGUCUAAUACCGGAUACGAGCUGCGAAGGCAUCUUCAGCAGCUGGAAAGAAUUUCGGUCAGGGAUGAGCUCGCGGCCUAUCAGCUUGUUGGUGAGGUAACGGCUCACCAAGGCGUCGACGGGUAGCCGGCCUGAGAGGGUGACCGGCCACACUGGGACUGAGACACGGCCCAGACUCCUACGGGAGGCAGCAGUGGGGAAUAUUGCACAAUGGGCGAAAGCCUGAUGCAGCAACGCCGCGUGAGGGACGACGGCCUUCGGGUUGUAAACCUCUUUUAGCAGGAAAGAAGCGAAAGUGACGGUACCUGCAGAAAAAGCGCCGGCUAACUACGUGCCAGCAGCCGCCGUAAGAC
rnacentral:rRNA from 1 species